rnacentral:lncRNA from 10 species
GGGGACGUGAAGAUGAGGAGAACAUGAGAGAGAGGAUAAUGAAGUCAGAUUUGUGGGCUGGAUCAUGAAGAGCAGCUCCGCAGGACUCAAAGUACAUUUCCAGGUUACUAACAAAGACGUCACAACCAGCCUGACUACAUCUUUGGCAGGUGAAACCACUGAAUUUCGGGGAGCUGUUGAGGAGAAGCUGAGUGCCUUGUGGAAGAACACACCGUAAGGAGGAGCCUGACAGAGCUGGUCACUGAGAAAAUCAUCAUCUGAGAACUGGUGACAUUGUGCGCUUAGAGGAGUGUGAUUUCUCCCUUUUCUCUACCUGCCUUACGAAACACUCAAGAAAUUCUACUUUUCCCACUACCUCUUUUGGUGUGAGUGGUUUAUAUUGGAGCCCUCCAAAGAGGCACUCUGGUCCUUGACAAGGUUGGCAGCAGGUGGAAGAAGACCAACUAGGGAUCAACUAGACACCUGAAAAGACUUUCUAUCUUUUUUUUUACCUAUUCAUUUAUUAUCUGUCUGUCAUCUCUUUCCCCCUGAGCUUUUUCAAGGAUCUCCCCUCUCUCACAUUUCCGUCUUUGGCUCCCUCAUGGGCCUCUCUUCCUUGGAGGUCAACAGGUCUUUGCUCAUCCCCACUGUCAAGUUUCUUAGAGUCAGCCAUCACGACUGGGGUCCAUAGAGAGAACUAUAAGCUGCCUCUCACAAAAUAGCCAGUAAGGGUCCUACAACUUACUGAGUUUUUAUAUAUAUUGAUCGUGGUGCUAGG